rnacentral:lncRNA from 1 species
UUGAAUUGAUUUAACCUCGAACUAGUUCAAAUAGGAAUCGUAGGAUGAAAUUUAACAUUUUAUAGUCAAGGAAUGACUAAAAAUUUUUUUUUGGAGUUCGAGGGUUCAUUUGGGAAAAAAUUGAAAAUUUUGAUGUUCAGGGGUAAAAUCGUAAUUUUUCCACUCGUGGAUAAAAUUUGAGAUUUUGAGAGAAUUUAGA